rnacentral:rRNA from 1 species
UACGUAGGUGGCAAGCGUUGUCCGGAUUUACUGGGCGUAAAGAGCGCGCAGGCGGUCGUUCAAGUCGCGUGUGAAAGCCCCCGGCUCAACUGGGGAGGGUCACGCGAUACUGGUCGACUCGAAGGCAGGAGAGGGUAGUGGAAUUCCCGGUGUAGUGGUGAAAUGCGUAGAUAUCUGGAGGAACACCGGUGGCGAAGGCGGCAUCCUGGACCAAUAUUGACGCUGAGGAGCGAAAGCUAGGGGAGCAAACGGG